UACGUAUGGGGCAAGCGUUGUCCGGAUUUAUUGGGCGUAAAGCGCGUGUAGGCGGCCCGGUAAGUCCGCUGUGAAAGUCGGGGGCUCAACCCUCGAAUGCCGGUGGAUACUGUCGGGCUAGAGUGCGGAAGAGGCGAGUGGAAUUCCUGGUGUAGCGGUGAAAUGCGCAGAUAUCAGGAGGAACACCAAUUGCGAAGGCAGCUCGCUGGGACGUGACUGACGCUGAGACGCGAAAGCGUGGGGAGCAAACAGG
rnacentral:rRNA from 1 species